GCCUUGGUGGUGUAGUGGUUAGAGCACGCGUACCCGGAUAGGAUGAAACGUGGGUUCGAUUCCCGCCUGAGGCC